GUAAGCACGAAACACGGAGGAAGCUCUGUGCCCGGAGGGGACUCGCCGCCAUCUCAAGUCUACGCCUCGCGGGGCCCACCAGAGAGAGCUGAAGCCCUGUCCUAUCAUCCUUAUGGGGGACCAACCUUGUGCCUCCGGGAGAUCCAUGCUCCCACCUGGAAAUACGCGGGAAACCAGGCCUCCAAAAAAGCGCUGCCUCCUAGCUCCACGGUGGGAUUAUCCAGAGGGAACGCCCAACGGAGGUAGUACCCCUCUCCCCUCCGCACCUUCUUCUGCAUCACCCGGCCUGAAGUCGCACCCUCCUCCUCCGGAGAAGUUGUAGAAUAUACUUCUUCCACCUCAAACCAGUCUCUGGGGGAUUGCAGAAUGACUCCAUUUCCUUGGUGCAUUCAUAAAAUGGUUCACCCUGUGAAGAUGAUGAAGACUAUUGACAAUGCUGCCCUAAUUUUUCUGAUGUCCUGAACCGGUCUCAUGAUAAUCAGCAUAAUUUCACCUCCUGAAUUUGGAUGAAUUAUGGGACAUAACCAAGAUCAGACUGUAGACGCCUAAGACUGAAGACCAUGGCGUGGAUCCUAGAGAACUCACCAGGGCAAAUAAAUCCUGUAAGAUGGUCCUGCAGCAGCUAAUCAAUGCUCUUUUGUGACACCCAGUCCCUGCUGUGUAACUUUGAAUUUCUAUAAAUCCAUUAAGGUCCCAAUAAAUUUUGUCUCUUACUGCUGUCUUAGUUCUAUCUGACUAGAAACUAAUAAACUGAAUUUUUAGUAAAUGUUUUAUAAUAACUCCAAAUACAAAGUACUACUAAUAUUGGUGUCAAAAUAUAACAUUUUUUCCUACCAA